rnacentral:rRNA from 1 species
GACGAACGCUGGCGGCGUGCUUAACACAUGCAAGUCGAACGGAAAGGCCCUGCUUUUGUGGGGUGCUCGAGUGGCGAACGGGUGAGUAACACGUGGGUAACCUGCCCUUGACUUUGGGAUAACUUCAGGAAACUGGGGCUAAUACCGGAUAGGAGCUCCUGCUGCAUGGUGGGGGUUGGAAAGUUUCGGCGGUUGGGGAUGGACUCGCGGCUUAUCAGCUUGUUGGUGGGGUAGUGGCUUACCAAGGCUUUGACGGGUAGCCGGCCUGAGAGGGUGACCGGCCACAUUGGGACUGCGAUACGGCCCAGACUCCUACGGGAGGCAGCAGUGGGGAAUAUUGCACAAUGGGCGGAAGCCUGAUGCAGCAACGCCGCGUGCGGGAUGACGGCCUUCGGGUUGUAAACCGCUUUCGCCUGUGACGAAGCGUGAGUGACGGUAAUGGGUAAAGAAGCACCGGCUAACUACGUG